rnacentral:lncRNA from 1 species
AUUUUUUUUUUUUUUUUUAAAUUUGAAGAACGCAACUGAGACUGGAAUCUUGAAGGCAGCUGUGUCUGGGAACGAGCCUUAUUCCGUUUCUUGAUGUUUUAAAUGAAGAAACACUGCCUCGAUUAUAUGAAUACACUCAGAAGGAACAUGUAGCUUGUAGUGUUGAAUUCUCUUAAAGGAAUGGUUAGCUUUGGUUAUCAUUUUGUUGUUUUUGAAUACUUGCCUUAUUUGAACGUUUAGCAGAACCCCUUCCCACUUAUAUAUUGUGUGGUACAGUUUUGCUUGCCUAUAGAAGUUUAAAUUUUUCCAUGUGAAAUACUCAGAAUAAGCAUAUGUGUGACUUACAUAAUGUGAGAAUUACAAUCUGAUGUAAUAAACGGUUCAUUUUAAAGGCUCUUGGGUGUCGCUCUUCGAGUGAAUGCGUUGGUAAGGAAGCGUGUGAGAGAUUUCAGGGAGCAACUUCAGCUCUAUCAGUUGCUUAGUUUUAAAACUCAAACGGUCUCUUAUGUGAGGGGACUUUAUGCCAUGCUUUUCUGAAGCUACACAGUUUCUGUCUCCGUUCCUUAUGGUCUUCACAUUCCAGCUCAACAGCUCCCUUCACCUGCCAUGUUAUCGGUGUGGCACCACUCCUGUAGCCUUGUGUGACAACAAGUGGUUAGUAUCGCAUCGGAGCAAGGUGAUGGGAAGACACCGUUAAUGUCAGAUUACUUGUGUUAAAGAUGCUGAGGAGCCAGCUGCGACUUGCUUACCUGCAGUGCAGUCCAGCACUUGGAAGGCUGACAAGAUUAAGAGUUUGAGGUCAGUCUGGGGUGCAUAGUAAGGUCGGAUCUCAGUAGAACAAAACAAAAACUAUACUAAAUAGAGUUCGACUGGUUGAUUGGCUGCCCGGCUGGCUGGUUGGUUGGUUGGUUGGUUGGUUGGUUGGUUGGUUGGUUGGUUGUCUGGCUGGCUAGCUGGCUGGUUGGCUGGCUAGCUGGUUCGGUUGGCUGGGUGGUUGGUUGGUUGGCUGGCUGGCUGGCUGGCUGGCUGGCUGGCUGGCUGGCUGGCUGGCUGGCUGGCUGGCUGGCUGGUUGGCUGGUUGGUUGGGUGGCUGGCUGGCUGGCUGGCUGGCUGGCUGGUUGGUUGGUUGGUUGGGUGGCUGGCUGGCUGGCUGUUUGGUUGGGUGACCGGCUGGCUGGCUGACUGAUUGGUGUCUGGCAGGCUGGCUAGUUGGUUGCUUGGCUGGCUGACCAGCUGGCUGGCUGGUUGGGUUUGCUUUGUUUUUUUGAGUGACCCUACUUUCAGCCCUGCCUGUGCCUCCAUCUUGGCCAGUUCUUACCAUCAAGAUUUGUGCUAUGUUCCCACACCCAUGUAACUGGGAGCCUCUAAGAUUUGCCUUGACCUGGUGCAUGUGGGUGAAGUGAAGUUGUACCAGUUCUACGUGGAGGCCUUCUCCUGGAUGUCCAUCCCCCGCUCCGUUUCCCAUCUCCGGGCUGUCCUACAGAUCAGAACCCUUAUGGAGAAAGGCACCAAGAGACUAUGUUAAAGCACCCAAGCCCAGGUUCACCUGCGUCCUGGCGUAUAGUAAACAGGCAAACAAACCUGACCCCGGACACAUGAGCUCAUGGACAAAAAAAAUGAGUGUUUAUUGUUUUGCAUCUAAAUUUGAGGUGAGUUAUUUCAUGAAGCAUUGCUGGGGAAGUGGGUGGCUGGUUCAUAAAGUCACUGCUAACAUGAUAAUAAUGGGAGGUAUUUUAGCAAAUAACCUGUGAUCUCUGUAAAGUGGAAAUAAUGAACGAAGUUCAACUAUAGCAAUUCAACUUGUGUCUAAAAAAAUUCCUAAUGGCUUAACAAAAGAUUUGAUUUAUUCUUUUAGGUAGUUUAGUUUAGAAUGGUGUUUUUUAACCUUGCUAAUGCUGUGACCCUUUCAUACAGUUCCUCAUGUUCUGGUGACCCCCCAACCAUAAAAUUAUUUUGUUGCUACCUCAUAACUGUAAUUUUAUAACAUACGAAUCAUAAUAUAAAUAUCUGAUAUGCAACCCUGUGAAAGGGCCAUUUAACCCACAGGUUGAGAACCACCGGUUUAGAACAAGAGUUUAAAUAUCCAUUCAAGGUUCCUUUCAAGCCUUAGGAAAAUAUAGUAUCAAAUUUAACUUAAAAUAUGACAUUUUAAAGUCUGUCUUCUUAAGUGUACUUAAAAAGUUAUAACCUGCAUUUUAAAAGAAAUCUCUGUAGGUGUUUAUACAUGUGAUGUGUGUGUCCGAGGUGGGGCGCACAUGCCAAUGUGUACCUGUGGAGGCCAGAAGACGGCUUCUGGUGUCGAUUCUCACCUUUCUUCCACCUUGUUUAGCAGAUGCGCUCUUCCUGCUUGCCACUGCAUGCACCAGGCUGACUGGCCUGUAAGCUGUCCGAGUUCUUCCUGUCUCCACCUGAAUGUAGGAGUGCUAAGAUCUCAGAUGUAUACCACUGCACUGAAGUGUAUACGGGAUCUUGGUGCCCAAACUCAGGUCCUUAGAUGUACGUGGCAGGCACAUUGCACACUGAGGCAUCUCUCCAGACACUAGUGUGUGUGUGUAUGUAUUUAUAUGUGUGUGUGUGUAUGUAUGUAUGUAUGUGUGUGUAUAGAUAUAUAGAUAUAUAUAGAUAUAAAGAUUAAUUAUAACGAAAUAACCAAAACCUAAUGGUAUGGGGUUGGAAUGGUUACAGGAAAUACAAAAGAAAACUGGUAACAAUUUUCUAGUAAUAAUGUAGAUGUGUUUAUCAGUAAAGCACAGAGAUGUUUAUUAUCAUAGUUUAUAGAGUCUUUUGUUUUUGUUUUUGAGAAUAUUUCUGGAAGAUAAAAACAUGACUGAAGAAGCCAGAUUUCCAAUGUAGGGUCAAAAUAACCUUUUAGUGUAGGCUAUUUGGCUUACUUUGCCUAAAGAGGAUUUUGUUUUGUUUUGCUUUUUGUUUUUCACAAAUUAUCUGAGGUCGGCUUUAUUUCCAUAAGAAUGAAAGCUACUGAGUAAUAACUUCCUCCAUAUCCACCAGGGCCAUCCAUCCACAACAGAAGAAUCAGGAUGAGUGUGGGCCAGCAAACAGGCUUUAGUCAGUUAGCCCGUUUCUAUCUUUAUUCUACCUGCUUCAAGCCUUCAUCUCCCCUUCUGCAUCUGUGACCUCCUUCCUCUUCCCCGAGGUGGUGAGUCAGAAGAUGGCAAGAAGUAGUUCCUUGCAGCAGAGAUGUUAGGAUGAAGUGCCACCUUUCCUGCAGAGGGAGAGGGUGUUCCUCUGUAUCUACCCCUAAGUGCGGGAUAUCUGCUACCUUCAGGCUUACAAGGCAUGUUAAGCUCUCACCGUGGUUACCCAUAGCUUAUAGUAAUGCGAGCAGAUGCGAUGAAUUCAAAAGACAAAACAAUGCUAGUUUGGGUUGUGCUUAUAAGUUAUGAUGUGCCUCCUGUGACCUGACCUUCAAAAGCCCUACCCUCUCUUACAUAUCCAGUGUACAUUGUAGGUCCAUGAAGUCUCUCUGGUGUCACACCUAGAACUAGGGUCCUCUUUUAGUUUCCUGAUUCUUUCAUUGCAGGCUUUCCUUAACAAAUCCUCAUCCUACUGUGCGCUGCAGUUAGGAUCUGUUUGAGCUUGCCAAAUAGAUUACUCACAGGACAGCCAGGCAUUAAUGAGAAACUUCUAAAUUAUUAUAAACAGUUUCAGAAAUGACCCCCUUUUUGUUCUGUCACCUGGGACUCCUAAAAUACUCUUUCCUGUUAAAAUGUUUCUCUGUGUUACUCUCAGUAACAGUUGAUGGGAAACAAGUCUUGGUGUCAUCCAGGGUGGGGAGGGGGGUGUGCUGGUGCCUGUGUGUCUGUCCGUGUGUGUUCCAGUAAAUGGAAAGUAUAGGAGUGGCUUCUGACCAAAAGCCGACGAUCAUUAAUAUUUCUGAAGUCAUAUUUUUGGGGUAGAAAGCAAACUUGAUUGUGUUUUCAUGGGCAUUCUCAUGAGUUAUGUUCAAAGUAGGACUUUUAACUUUACCCUCGGUAAACAUGACACGUUGAUCAUGUUUUUUAUUUUCAGUCCACUACAUUUUACCUUCUUUAAGGUUUCUUUUUAUGUAUAUGGGUGUUUUACCUACAGUUCUAUGUGAUGCCACUUGCAUGCCUGGUGCCCACAGAGGACAGAAGAGGUCAUUGGAUCCCAUGGAACUAGUUACAGACAGUUGUGAGCUCUUAUAUGUGUGCUGGGAUCUGAACCUGGAUCUUGUGCAAGAACUUUCAUGUGCCAUCUGUAACUCAAACUACUAGGCCAUGCAUCCCACUACAUUUCCAACCCCCACUACAUCUUCCUCUUAUUAUCAUCUGUUUAAAAAAAAAAAAAAAAACAGCAC